AGUACGAGUUGCAUUUCGAUACUCCGGUGGCUCCUCCCUUGGAGGUGUCGGCGGUGCUUUCGGUGUAUCUCGUCUAGCGUUGGGACGACGCAUGAGUGGUGAUUAGGAUACGUUUCCCAUGCAGGCUCCAUGUAAUUUGGCAUCGAACUGCUUGGGCCUAUCUAUUUCAUUUGAGGGUUCGCGUCGGCGUUUCCAUCGUCGGUCGCGACCACUUGUUGGGUUCCUGUGCUUGCUACUGAAUUUUGAAGCCGGAUGGAUUGUUGUUCCCCGUCAUGGUUUUUUGGUCCCCCUCCGCUUUGCGCGGCUGCGGUGGAUUUCGUGCGGGCAUCGAGGUUUUCCUUCCGAGCCGUUGUCCCCCUCCCUUUGGGCGCAUUCGGUUGAGAUGGAACGUCGAUGCUAGCGGCACUCUCGGGUACGGAGAUUUUGUGGCGAUCGCAUUGGGCUUCGGCCUUUGUGAUGGUAACGUAUCGAAGCUUUCUUGCUUCUGAUUGUAUGACCCUCGCGCUCGUCUAAGAGUUCACGGAGCAUCUUCGCUCGGUGUUCUUCUUGGGGAGCCGUCGAGGUCUGGAAAGGAAUGCUACCUGGUUGAU
rnacentral:misc_RNA from 1 species